UAAGUCAGCUCCUCUAAAAUGAAUCAGCUUGCCAGUGUAUGGUGGGCAUCGCAGGUGUGAUAACUAUCUACGCUUGUGGUUUUCCACCAGGUAACCUUCAGCAGUGGAGGUUCGCUGGAGCUCACAGACGUCUCUCCUCAGUGAGGACAGCCCUUUGAAUGUUUGAUCUCAAAUCAGGUAGGACUACCCGCUGAACUUAA
rnacentral:misc_RNA from 1 species